rnacentral:rRNA from 1 species
AGCUCCAAUAGCGUAUACUAAUGUUGUUGCAGUUAAAAAGCUCGUAGUCGGAUUUCAGUUAGAAUAGAAUUUUCAGAACGAGAAGACUGUUCUUACUUCUUUGACAGAAACACUUAUGUUAUUCAUUUAAUGUGAGUUGCGACUGUCUCUUUUACUUUGAGAAAAUUAGAGUGUUCAAAGCAGGUUUUAGCCUGAAUAUUGCUCUUGGAAUGAUAUUACAUGACUUUGGUUCGAAUGUAUUGGUGGUUUGGACCAGAGUAAUGAUUGAUAGGGACGGUUGGGGCCUCACGUACUGCAAAGCGAGAGGUGAAAUUCUUGGACCUUUGUAUGACGAACAACUGCGAAAGCAUUUGGCUAGCACGUUCCCG